rnacentral:rRNA from 1 species
CCUACGGGAGGCAGCAGUGGGGAAUUUUGGACAAUGGGCGCAAGCCUGAUCCAGCAAUGCCGCGUGAGUGAAGAAGGCCUUCGGGUUGUAAAGCUCUUUUGUCAGGGAAGAAACGGUGGUUCCUAAUACGGACUACUAAUGACGGUACCUGAAGAAUAAGCACCGGCUAACUACGUGCCAGCAGCCGCGGUAAUACGUAGGGUGCAAGCGUUAAUCGGAAUUACUGGGCGUAAAGCGUGCGCAGGCGGUUAUAUAAGUCAGAUGUGAAAUCCCCGGGCUCAACCUGGGAACUGCAUUUGAGACUGUAUGGCUAGAGUGUGUCAGAGGGGGGUAGAAUUCCACGUGUAGCAGUGAAAUGCGUAGAUAUGUGGAGGAAUACCGAUGGCGAAGGCAGCCCCCUGGGAUAACACUGACGCUCAUGCACGAAAGCGUGGGGAGCAAACAGGAUUAGAUACCCUGGUAGUCCACGCCCUAAACGAUGUCUACUAGUUGUCGGGACUUAAUUGUCUUGGUAACGCAGCUAACGCGUGAAGUAGACCGCCUGGGGAGUACGGUCGCAAGAUUAAAACUCAAAUGAAUUGACGG